GAAUGACUCUCGGCAACGGAUAUCUCGGCUCUCGCAUCGAUGAAGAACGUAGCGAAAUGCGAUACUUGGUGUGAAUUGCAGAAUCCCGUGAACCAUCGAGUCUUUGAACGCAAGUUGCGCCCGACGCCUUCUGGCUGAGGGCAUGUCUGCCUGGGCGUCACGC
rnacentral:rRNA from 1 species